rnacentral:sRNA from 1 species
UACCUACAACUAAAUGGAGUUGUAGAAGAGCUAACGGAGCUAUAGGA